UCCACGAACGGCAUAUCAAUGAAGAGAUAUGUGAAAAAACACCUUGAGGAUUGAUUCUAAACAACGUUUGCCAUGUUUCGAUCGAUAUUAUGGAGUUAAUUUGGAAAAAGUUUGACGUUUUGGUGACUGAAUUUUCAGUUCGUUUCGGUAGCCAAAUGUGAUGUACAAAACGGAGCGAUUUCUCCGACACAAAGAUUCUUUCAGGAAAAACUGAACAUUUGCUAUGUAACUGAGAGUCUCCUCAUUGAAAACAUCCGAAGUUCUUCAAAGUGACCGGUCGAUCAAAACACAUUCUGGAAGAAUUGCCAACUGAACGCAUUAAAGUUAGUGAGUUUAUAGGGGAAGGAUGAGCAUGAUGUGGAGGAGGAGACCAUCUCAGCAUGUUCUGAGAGGCCUUUAGAGGGAAUCUACCCUUCCUCUUUCGAGAUGUGCACCUCGGCCGGACCCACUAACUCUGCCUGACCCUAUGCUGCUGGACCC